CUGUGGUGACAGUAAAGAGCAGAGACACAGCCCUCAAAUGAUCAAAUCUUCUGCUGUUCAAAUUCCAUUCUUGAUGAUGGAAACCUGCAUUUGAAGGAAAGGUUCUUAGGAAAGGAGUUAAAGGGGCAAAAAAAGAGUUCCAAGAGGAUACAUGUGCUGUCUUAUUUUGAUGACACUGGGCUCCAGUUCAGCAAAGCAUUUAAGCACAUGGAAUCAAUGGGGCCUCUCCAUAUUAUUGGCAGCUGCCUGACGAUCCCCUCACAGCCUUAGCCAAGUACUGAGGUCAUGGCUGCCAUCUUUCAGAUCAAGAAAGAAAUGGAUAUAAUUCCCUUUGGGGGGACCUCUUCAAAACAAUGUUAGGGCACUCACCGUCACGGUCCUCCAAGAGCUCCCCACAGCACCUCUGCAGCACUCCCCAUCACCGAAGCACAAUCAAAUCAGGUUCUCCCUCACAGCAGCGCCUCUGGGCCUGCGACCACAGAUGUGAUGUUUAGUCAUAAACAUCAGAGAUGGAUCCAGGCUACAACUCUGGAUCCGAAACCCCUGUACUGGGUGAAGAAGACAAUUGGAAUCCAAACCCCUAUCUGGAGCCACAUUUUGCGAUUGGCACCUCUUUUUAGAAAAGGUGGAGCCAAAACACAAUCAAAAAAAUCCUCAAACUUUUUAGGGGUUCAAGAUCAGAGCCCAAGUGU